rnacentral:rRNA from 1 species
CACCUUUGACAUCCCGUGCUAUCUAGAGAGAUCUAGAGUCCCUUCGGGGCGCGGAGACAGGUGCUGCAUGGCUGUCGUCAGCUCGUGUCGUGAGAUGUUGGGUUAAGUCCCGCAACGAGCGCAACCCUCGCUUCUAGUUGCCAGCAUUUAGUUGGGCACUCUAGAGGAACUGCCUGCGCUAAGCAGGAGGAAGGCGGGGAUGACGUCAAGUCCUCAUGGCCCUUACAGGG